rnacentral:rRNA from 1 species
AACUAACGCUGGCGGCAGGCUUAACACAUGCAAGUCGAACGCUCCGCAAGGGGAGUGGCAGACGGGUGAGUAACGCGUGGGAACGUGCCCUAAGGUACGGAAUAACUUCGGGAAACUGAAGCUAACACCGUAUGUGACCGAGAGGUGAAAGUUUAUCGCCUUAGGAUCGGCCCGCGUCAGAUUAGCUAGUUGGUGGGGUAAUGGCCUACCAAGGCGACGAUCUGUAGCUGUUAUGAGAGGAAGAUCAGCCACACUGGGACUGAGACACGGCCCAGACUCGUACGGGAGGCAGCAGGGGGGAAUCUUGGACAAUGGGCGCAAGCCUGAUCCAGCCAUGCCGCGUGGAUGAUGAAGGCCUUAGGGUUGUAAAAUCCUUUCGCCGAGGACGAGAAUGGCGGUACUCGGAGAAGAAGCUCCGGCUAACUGCGUGCCAGCCGCCGCGGUAACAC